UUAUUCUCACCUAUGGAAACUUGUCGUUUCACUUUCGCUUCUGUUUCAGAAUAAGAUCUAAAUUCUUAUCUCUUCCAGCGGCUAUCAUCACCACCACCGUUUCUACUUUCUCUGCCUCUUUCAGCCAUCACCCUCACCACCUUUACCUCUGCCAUUACCGCCGCUACCACCUAUGUCGCCACGAACAAUUGUCCACCUAAGAAAAUUGAAUCCGUAUUUGUUCUUUUGUUCAUCAUUACCUUCUAAAUCUGAAGAUCUAAAAAGUAAUAAGGCGAAUUCAUUUUUGUUUUUUUUGGAUUUUGUCGAUGAAGAUUUAGAGGGGUUUUUAGAACAAAUAUGAAGAUCUAAUCCAUCUGAAGAUGUAAUCCAUCUGUUUUGGGAUUUGAUCCGGAAAGGGAUGAUUCGUCCAACUUCACCAGAGAAAAGAUUUGGGAACUACUACAUUGGGGAUUUUGUAUGUAUCAGGUACUGAAAUCACCAACAAAGCAUGGUAUUAAUAAUUUAUGGGAUCAACUCCUACUGUUGAUACCAUUUUUAUGGGAUCAACUAUUGUGGUUGAUCCAACAAAUGGGAUCAACUCCUAUUGUUUACUCAAUUUUUAUGGGAUCAACUAUUGUUGUUGACAGCAUUUCCUUGGAUAGUCUAAUUAUGCAUGUAGUUUAAAUGCUUAGAUUUUUAUAGAUGUAAAUUCUUCAAAAUGUUGAAUUUAUGGUGCAAUGGUAGCAUGACUAAUUCCACGUCAGAUGAUGCGUGUUCGGCUCACACCAAAUUCACGCAUUCGUAUAUGUCAUUUUGUAUCAAACUUUGGUUGCUUCAGGCCAUAGAUGGUUGUUCCAGAGAUUAUAUUUUGCAAUUGUCAGAUAACCAUUCGGAUUUGAGAUUUUUGAUUCACUGCUCUAGCAUGAAAGGGCUUGACGUGUUGAAUUUGAUUCACUACAACUUUUUUGCAUCUUUUUUAGGUUUCAUACUUGUUGGAUGUUUCUUUUUUUUUUUUUUUUAUGUUUUUUUGGUUUGGAGUUGUUAUGUUUUGUAACGACAUACAUUCUAAUUUGUUUUUAUGAAUGUUUUUCUUGUGUU